GUGGGGAAUUUUGGACAAUGGGCGCAAGCCUGAUCCAGCAAUGCCGCGUGCAGGAAGAAGGCCUUCGGGUUGUAAACUGCUUUUGUACGGAACGAAAAGGCUCUGGUUAAUACCUGGGGCUCAUGACGGUACCGUAAGAAUAAGCACCGGCUAACUACGUGCCAGCAGCCGCGGUAAUACGUAGGGUGCAAGCGUUAAUCGGAAUUACUGGGCGUAAAGCGUGCGCAGGCGGUUUUGUAAGACAGACGUGAAAUCCCCGGGCUCAACCUGGGAAUGGCGUUUGUGACUGCAAGGCUGGAGUGCGGCAGAGGGGGAUGGAAUUCCGCGUGUAGCAGUGAAAUGCGUAGAUAUGCGGAGGAACACCGAUGGCGAAGGCAAUCCCCUGGGCCUGCACUGACGCUCAUGCACGAAAGCGUGGGGAGCAAACAGGAUUAGAUACCCUGGUAGUCC
rnacentral:rRNA from 1 species